CAAUAGCGUAUAUUAAAGUUGUUGCAGUUAAAAAGCUCGUAGUUGGAUUUGUGCUUGACGGUGAUGUCCUUAUUGGUACGUUCGCUGUAUAGCAUUUAUGGGUGGAAUCUACAUGGCAUUAGGUUGUCGGGUAGGGGAUACUCAACGUUUACUGUGAAGAAAUUAGAGUGUUCAAAGCAGGCUUAGGCCAUUGAAUAUAUUAGCAUGGAAUAAUGAGAUAGGACCUUGGUACUAUUUUGUUGGUUUGCGCACCGAGGUAAUGAUUAACAGGGACAGUUGGGGGUAUUCGUAUUCCAUUGUCAGAGGUGAAAUUCUUGGAUUUUUGGAAGACGAACUACUGCGAAAGCAUUUACCAAGGAUGUUUUCAUUAA
rnacentral:rRNA from 1 species